ACCGUCCUGAUGUGUUCGUCGGGUCACCCAUCGUUUUGACCGAACAGUCGAUGAUCCGGGAGCCCGGGGUUUCCAAGCGGCGUGCAUGCCUCUUCGUUGCAGGGGGAAGCGCAAACCUUGGAACAGGGCACCCACCUAUGUGGGAGCGGGUUCAAAACGAAGGCAUCGACGGCACGAUUGGGACUGGU
rnacentral:other from 23 species